rnacentral:misc_RNA from 1 species
GGGCGGGGCGCGGCGGCGUGUUUGUGUUGGGUUGGUGUGGGGGUUUGGUGGAGGAGCACAAUUCAUAGUUUAUUUUUUUUCCCUUCAAAUUUUUUGAGUGUUAAUUCCCUCAUUUGCUCUGUGAUAAUUAUUAUAAACUUUGUGAUCUUCAAUAAUAAGAAAAUACAUCAUAAAAAGAACAUUAGUUUACAUGGGGGUUUUUAAUACUUCGAAUGUUAAACCUUCAGUAAUUUGAAUGGAUAACUACGUUAAAGUUGGUGAAACCCCUUUUCUAUCUUUCAAAGGCUCCUUUUGCUGCUAUAACUGUUUAGUUUUUCCAAUUUAUAGCGGAUUUCAGUUUAAAAUUUGAACUUUGCCCUGAUCCUUGCAAAUGAACUAUAAGCACCAAAAGUCAAAUUAUGAUACACACAGCGAACCCUGUUUUGUGGAAAUGCUGGCAGAUAUCCUGGUAAAUUGAUGGCUAUGUUGUCAACUUCAUUUUAUGAGUCUUUUGACCAUGGUUGAGAGCUUACCACUGCUUAGUAGUGAUAUAAGUGAGGGAGGAUGAUUGCAAUUUGCAUCUGCCCUUAUGACAAGGAGCUUUUUCUCUCUGUUCCAUAGAACUCAUUGAAGAUGUAGAUCUCUUGAUUAGAAGGGCUGAGAGAUGCUUGGAGGCUGGGGCUGACAUGAUAAUGAUUGAUGCCGAUGAUGUCUGCAAAGAUGCUGAAUCUCUGAGGGCAGACAUAAUUGCAAAGGUGAUUGGACGACUAGGCCUUGAGAAAACCAUGUUUGAAGCUUCCAGUGCUAGAACUGCAGAGUGGUUUGUCAAAUGCUAUGGUCCUAAGGUGAAUCUCUUCGUGGAUCAUUCUCAAGUAAUUGGUCUAGAGUGCCUUCGGGGACAUAACUUGGGUAAAAAUAAUGCUUCUUUCCGUAGUUCACCAUAUUAUUUUCUGUCCUGAAUUGUUGUUUAGUGGUGAUACCUAUACCUCAUCGGAAGUCAACUGGUUACACUGUUGUUGUAAUCUCGUGAUGUUUGUAUUAAAUAAUGCUUAAUGUACCCCCCAUGUUCUCAGUUCUGGAGUGUUGAUUUGUAGUGAUGAUACUUAUUCCUUGCUGGAAGUCAACCGGCUGUGAGGCCUUUGUAAUUUUGUGAUGUUUAUACUGAGAAUGGUAGAUGUUUUAUUUCUGCAAAUGAGGACAUUACCAAGCAACCAAGUAAUAGCAAUUCCUUUUCAGAUUGAAGC